rnacentral:misc_RNA from 1 species
CCGAGUUUACAACUCCCAAACCCCAAUGUGAACGUUACCAAACUGUUGCCUCGGCGGGAUUUCUGCCCCGGGCGCGUCGCAGCCCCGGACCAAGGCGCCCGCCGGAGGACCAAACCUUACAAACUCUUUUUGUACGUCCCUCUGCGGACUCUUUACAUUUCUGAGCUUUCUCGGCGCUCCUAGCGAGCGUUUCGAAAAUGAAUCA